UACGUAGGGUGCAAGCGUUGUCCGGAAUUAUUGGGCGUAAAGAGCUCGUAGGCGGUCUGUCGCGUCGAUCGUGAAAACUUGGGGCUUAACCCUGAGCUUGCGGUCGAUACGGGCAUGACUGGAGUUCGGCAGGGGAGACGUGGAAUUCCGUGGUGUAGCGGUGAAAUGCGCAGAUAUCAGGAGGAACACCGGUGGCGAAGGCGGGUCUCUGGGCCGAUACUGACGCUGAGGAGCGAAAGCGUGGGGAGCGAACAGG
rnacentral:rRNA from 1 species